rnacentral:rRNA from 1 species
AUUGAACGCUGGCGGCAUGCCUUACACAUGCAAGUCGAACGGCAGCACGGGAGCUUGGCUCCUGGUGGCGAGUGGCGAACGGGUGAGUAAUACAUCGGAACGUACCCUGAAGUGGGGGAUAACGUAGCGAAAGUUACGCUAAUACCGCAUAUUCUGUGAGCAGGAAAGAGGGGGAUCGCAAGACCUCUUGCUUGAGGAGCGGCCGAUGUCGGAUUAGCUAGUUGGUGAGGUAAAGGCUCACCAAGGCGACGAUCCGUAGCGGGUCUGAGAGGAUGAUCCGCCACACUGGGACUGAGACACGGCCCAGGACUCCUACGGGAGGCAGCAGUGGGGAAUUUUGGGACAAUGGGCGCAAGCCUGAUCCAGCCAUGCCGCGUGAGUGAAGAAGGCCUU